CCGCCGGCGGCGAGCUCGAGACCCCCGCGCGUACCGGGCCGAGCCGGCGGCUGAGGAGAACGAGGCCUGAUGCGGCUGGGGCUGCGCGGCACAGCCGAGCCCUGAGGAAGCGGCCCGCGCUCGCGCGUCCCCCGGCGCCUCGAGCGGGCGCUCCACACUGCCCAACCUGGGCUUGCCUGGGGCAUGAGCGUGCCUGAGACGCCGGGGGAGAUGGAGCCGGCCGGGGAGGAGGAGCGGCCGCCACCGGCGGCCGAGGAAGAGGACGACGAGGAGGAGGUGGCAGCGGCGGCCCCGAGCUCAGGGCCGGCUCGAGGGAGGAGCGCCUCCUCGCAGGAGGACGCGGACGACCAGGAGGAGGAGGAGGAGGCGAUGGUGGUCGGGGGCGGUGGCUGCAAGGAGCAGGAGCUGACCUACGAGCUGCAGCAGGGCUACCGCAUCCUGGGCGAGUUCCUGCAGGAGAAGCACCGGGGCCUGACCGCCCCUUUCCUGCAGCCCUUGGGGGGCGUUGCCGCCAGCGAGGAGGAGGAGGCCGAGGGGCCGCGCAGCGGGAGCCGGGGCAGUCGCGUCCACCCGCAGCAGCCCGGGCAGUGCAUGUGUCUGCUGAAGAUGGAGGAGAAGUUCGCCAGCGGCCAGUACGGGGGCAUCACCGAGUUCGUCGCGGACUUCAGGCUGAUGCUAGAGACGUGCUACCGCCUGCAUGGAGUGGACCACUGGAUCUCCAAACAGGGCCAGAAGCUGGAGAUGAUGCUGGAGCAGAAGUUGGCGCUUCUCUCGCGGCACUUGAGAGAAAAGACAACGAUAGCAGUUACAUCUAGAGGCUAUUAUGGAUUGGAGGAUGAGAAGGGAACUGCAUGUACUUCAACAAGGCGUCGGUCAACACCGCGAAGUUUGGCAGGCUUGACAAGUGGAGUUUUUGAAUCUAUAAUGGUUCAAGUUUUGAGACAGGAAGAACAGCUGAGAGCAAAAGAAGAAAAAAGGCUUCGGGAACAGGAAAGAAAAGAAGCAGAAGAAGCUAGUCAAAAGGAAAUAGAAGAAUGGGAAAGAAAACUUCUAGCUCAAGCAGCUCCAACUUGUAUGGAGACCCUGUGGGAAAUUCCAGCUAUUGGGCAUUUCCUUUGUUUAGCCCAGCAAAUUCUAAAUUUGCCAGAAAUAGUCUUUUAUGAAUUGGAACGUUGUCUUCUGAUGCCUCAGUGUAAUGCAUUUCUAUCUAAAAUAAUGACUUCUCUAUUAAGUCCUCCCCAUCGCAGACCUACCUUACAUCGAAGACCUACUUUGCCUUAUAGGACCUGGGAAGCAGCACUGAGACAGAAAGUACAGCAGUGGUACACUGCUGUAGGGCAGACUGAAAAUCCCGAUAACUGUGCUGAAAAACUUGGAUUGUGUCCUCAGUUUUUUAAAGUUCUUGGAGAAGUUAAUCCAUUGGAAGAAAAACCUUUUCAUGAACUACCUUUCUACCAGAAAGUGUGGUUACUUAAGGGUCUUUGUGACUUUGUGUAUGAAACACAAAAAGAAGUUCAAGAUGCUGUACUUGGACAGCCUAUUCAUGAAUGCAGGGAAGUUAUCCUUGGUUACGAUUAUUUGGAGAAUGCUUACGUACAUUUUCCACAGUUCUGUGGUGCAGAUGUACGGAUUUAUAAACAGAGACCCUUUCAGGCCCCAGAAUUUCCAGUUCCACCUAUUAAAAUACAAAGAGUACCUAGGAUUAAACUGGAGAAAUUGAAGUGUGACUAUGUUAGUACAAGUAAUGGAGAACAUAGAUGUAGUAGAGAAGGCCUGCCCUCUGCCUUCAAGAAAGAGCAGGAAAUUAAUUUUGAUCCAACUUGCUGCCCUGCUAAAAUGAACUUGGAUAAUCAUGACAUCUCUGUUGAAAUGGAAGUGAAAUCCAGCUGUGAAAUUAGAAUUUGCAGGCCUUAUGAAAUUAAAAAAACUGAUUGUUGUAAAGAAAAUUUAGAGAAACCAGGGAGUCCAGGGGAAGUUACUGGCUUUGGAGAGCCUCUCAGUCCAGGUGAAAUAAGGUUUAUAGAAAAUCAAGAAAAAUAUGGUGAAGCUUCCAGAGUAAAGCCUGAACCCAGUCCAUUAAAAGAAAAUGCUCUAAAAUCUUGCCAAAUACAUGUAAAUGGAAGUCACAGUGAUCAUCCAGAAAUUAACUGCCACAAGGUUGUAAGGGAUAUUCUGUUAGAGCAGUCACUGCAGAGCCACAAGAAACUAAAACUAACUAAAAUGAGGGCGAAAAAGAAGAAAAAGAAAAAAAAGAAAUUGAAAGAUGUUUUGAAUGAAAACUUACAGAGAAAGCGUGAAGGUCUUCAUUCUCUUGCAUUCAAGUCUUACAAACCUGAGAUCCAGAAUAAGUUAUUGAUCAUCAAAAAGAAAGCAAAACACAAGAAGCACAAAUCUGGAAAAAAAUCCAUAUCUAAAAAAGCAAUCACAAAGAAGAGGAAAACUGUCACAAAGUCACCUACUGUACCAGAAUUUCAGCUUAUUUGCACUAAUCUUGAUGAACUCAGGGAAUUAAUCACAAAAAUCGAGAAUGAACUCAAAGAUCUGGAAAACAGUAGAAAAAAAUCGGGCAAAUGGUAUCAUCGGAGGCAAGCUGUAAAAGAAUUGCAUAGUACAUUGAUACGUCUUUUAAAUGAAUUACUGCCAUGGGAACCAAAAUUAAUGAAAGCUUUUCAAAGAAACAGGAGCCGCCUAAAGAGAGACUAUGAUGAUUUCAGAAGACAGCCUGAUCAUGAUAAAUUUACUAGAGAACUAUGGACUACUGAAGAAGGUGAAGGAGAUCCUGGAAAAGAAUCUCCUAAAGUAGAAUUCAGUAAGUCUAUAGACUCAACGGAAUCUCUAGAUAUCCUGGAGAAAGAUCACUUUGAUUCAGAUGAUAUGAAAUUGUCAGAAAUAGAUUUUCCUAUGGCCAGAAGCAAGUUGUUGAAAAAGGAAUUGCCUUCUAAAGAUGGACCGAAGACACUGCCUAAAACCCUUAAACGACAGUCCAAACAAACUAGUUAUCUGGAUGAUAGCACAAAAGAGCUUUCCCCAAGAAAGAAAGCAAAGUUAAGCACAACUGAGACAACAGUUGAGAAUGUAGAUGGAAAUUUGCAGAUUGACUGUUUGAAUGAAUCAAAGCAUGCAGAGCCACUGUUUCCAGAGUCAUUUGCCUCAGUGGAAUCAACACCAGUGUCUACUCUCCAGAAAGGGACCAAACCUAUUCAGGCCUUGCUUGCAAAGAAUAUUGGGAACAAAGUGACCUUAACAAAUCAACUGCCUCCUUCCACAGGUAGAAGUGCUCCUGCUGUGGAAAAGCCAGUUAUAUCUCCUCCAGAAGCAAGCCCCAUAAAGCCAGCAUUGACCUGCCACACCAGUACAAAAGGUCCUUUACAGAUGGUAUACAAAAUGCCCUGUGGCCAGUGGUUGCCCAUAGAUCUUCAUAACAGCUCUGUAAAGAUUCAGAUGCAACCUGUGCUGGAUCCUAAAACAGGAGAAAAAAUCAUGCAGCAGGUUCUCAUUCUGCCCAAGAAUUUUGUGAUUCAGCACAAGGAAGGAAAAGCAGUUGCAAAAGAAAUACCACCACUUCAACAAAAAGGUACAGAACAACGUUGUUCAUCUUUCCCACAGACAGCAAAUGUGAACUCUUCUUUAGCAUCAGUUCUUGUCAAUUCAACAGGAAGUGUUUCUACCCAUCUACCUAAUACAGUUUUCAACAAGACGAUUACACCUUUGUCAAAUGUGAGUAGUGGUAGACCACAGCCUUUGUCUCCUGUAACUUCCAUAAAUAAUUUAUUAACACCACCAGUUAAGACUAGCCAGAGUGAAGCAGGAAAAGUCAAGAAUACAGUUUCAGCAGCCACGUUCCCCCAGCCCAUUGCUUCACCUACCAUUUCCUCAACAGUUCAGACUGUUUUAUCAGCAACGACACUAAGUGGAUCUACAAAUCCUGGUAGUUCCCUCAACUGUUUUGCACAACCACCUUCUGAUUGUUCUGAAGCAAAGCAAGAGCUGAAAACUGUAUGUAUAAGAGAUUCACAGUCAAUUCUUGUUAGGACACGAGGUGGAAACACUGGAGUUGUAAAAGUACAGACCAAUCCAGAUCAAAAUUCACCCAACAGUUUAUCUUCAGGUUCAGUUUUCACUUUUGCUCCUCAGCUUCAGGCAUUUCUGCUGCCAAAAUCAACAACUUCUUCAUCUUCUGCUUUUUCACCAGUAGCUGGAACGACUACUACAUCUAGUCUCCCACCUUUUGGCCACACACCCACUUCUAUUUCCAUUCCAGCUGCCUUUAAUCCAUCUGUGGGGAAAAAUCUCAAACUUACAUUAGGCCAGCCUGCCUGCAGUGGUAAUUUGGGCCACAUGAUAGAUAAAACUUCGCACAUCCUUUCUUCUCCUUUGAAGUCCUCUGUUUCUUCUAGCACUCUACUAACAUCAACAGUAAAUAGUUCAGUAAGUGUAAUUAGCAUAUCAACAGGAAAUUUUGGACAAACCAAUGCAAAUAUUAUUCAUACUCCCACUAAACAGCAACAAGUUGAUUAUAUCACAAAAAGUUACCCUGUUACAAGAUCAGAAGCAACAGCAGCAACAAAUGGAGAUGUGAUCAGUGGGACUCCAGUUCAGAAACUUAUGCUAGUGUCAGCUCCGUCUGUUCUUUCUUCUGGCAGUGAAACUGCAAUUAAUGUGACACCUGCACCAACAUCUACAGGUGUUUCUGCCCAGAAGUUAGUUUUUAUUAAUGCUCCAAUUCCCAGUGGCGCUUCAACCCCAACUAUUGUGGCAGAACCAUUAAAACAAACUCUUCCUCCUCCCUUGAAUAAAACAUAUGUUAAGACUCCAGAGCAACCUCAGAUAGUGCUGAUUCCAUCUACAGUGGGAGCACCAAUAAAAAUAAAUUCAUCACCAACUGUGUCUCAGAUAAAAGAUGUGAAAAUUGGGCUAAACAUAGGUCAAGCAAUUGUAAAUACUUCAGGCAGUGUGCCAGCUAUACCAUCAAUUAACAUAUUGCAAAAUGUAACCCCAAAAGGAGAAGAAAAAAGUACCAAGGGCUAUGUUUUGCCAUUGUCAACAAGUGGUAAUUCAAUUCCAGUAAGCUCAAAUAUUGUGAGUCAAAAUAUUACUCCUGUUAAUGAAUCAGUGGUUUCUACAGCGAGAGCAGUAAACAUGUUUUCAGUAACAGGAGCAAAUGUAUCUUUGGGUUCUCUUUCAGUGACCUCAACCUCUGCUUCAGUUGGGACACGACCUCCUGUUUUAGUCAGUGGAAAUGAUACCUCUUCAAGAAUUAUGCCUAUUUUGUCAAAUAGACUUUGCACAUCAAAUCUCGGAAACACUGUGGCUAUAUCAACUGUGAAAACAGGACAUCUUGCGUCAUCUGUUCUGAUUUCAACUACACAACCAACAGUGUCUCCAAAAUGUUUAACAUCAGCUUUGCAAAUCCCUGUUACUGUUGCCUUGCCUACACCUGUGACUGUAUCCCCUAAAAUAAUCAACACAGUUCCACAAGUGGCAACAGUACCAGGAGCCACACGUUCUGUAUCUGUUUCUAAAAGACAGUCUCGGACUUCUGUCCAGUUUCAGUCACCAGGGAUUUCAACUACAGUGCCAACAAAUAUAAAUACAAAUAAACCUCAAACUGAAUUGCCGUCCCUUUCACCAAGCCCAGGAAGGAUAUAUGCACAAGGACCCUAAUGUUGACUGAGGACCCAGGGUGGUUCUGCUCCCCGCCCCAACUCCCAGCGAUAUACCUCAGGGCUAGUUUACAACAUUUUCCCCAACUAUCAGCCCACAAAAAGGAAAUGGAAAUUAAUAUCGACAAUGUCUACCAUAAGGUGGGUGCCAUACUAAGCAUUCUAUACACAUUAGCUUAUUUACUUCUCACAAGAGCCCUGUAAGGUAGGCACCAUUUGUCAUCUCCAUUUCACAGAUGAGGACAUAAAUGCAGAGGUUAAGGGCCUUGCUGAUGGCAUAUAUGGAGAUAGCACAAGAUGGAGCUAGGGUUUCAACUUGAAUCUCUCUCAGUUGUGUUUGUACCCUCUCUACCCAAAACUGCCCCCCUCACUGUUUACCCAUGCCCUCUCUCCAUUCCCGCCCUGACUAGUAUUCUCAUGUUCCUAGUCUCAGCAUCACCCCUCCCGGUAUGAAGGCAAGCCAUCUUGGCUUCUCUCAUAGGCAGCCCUGUGGUGGUAAUCAGCAGUGUGCUUACCUGUGUCUUCCAGAAAAAGAGCUCCCAGAGGAGUUUUUUGGGUUUUGGUUUCUUUGUGUUUUAAUUUGUUUCCUCAAUGCCUAGAAAGGGUCAGGCACAUGGGUGUUUCAGGAAAUAUUUCUUGAAGAUGGAUGGAUGAAUAAAUGGACAGUUGGAUGGAUAGCCAAACAAAUAAAUUACAGGUGAUUACAAAUUCACAUCCUCUCCCCUAUAAUACCAGUCUGUUUGCAAAAUGAAUGAGCCAUUUAAUGUCUUCCUUAAAAUAACUGUUUACAACUAUCUGGAUUUGUGGCAUAAUGUUAGUCCUAAUAUCAUCAUUUUUUUUUUUUUUUUUGCAUCUGCAAUUGGAACUGAAGACCUGAAAUACCAUCUUUAAAGAUUCAUUCCGUUGGUCUAAUAGCUUACUUCUCUAUUACUUUAACCUCUUGUGGGUCAGUGACACUCUAGUGAGAAUGAGGGGAUCAGCAACUUUCCACAGAGCAGUUUUGGAUUAGGGAUGGAGAGAAGGUAAUGAAGAGAAGGAGACAGCAUGGCAACUGGCCACCAAGGGCUCAGAGCUGACUAAAGGGGUGGAAGGAGGACUUGUGGGAUUUAGAGUUCUCUGAAACUAAAACUAUCGCACGGGCUUGCCAGAGCUCAGCCCAGCUGGUAGGACAUGUGUCCCAUGUUUAUGCUUAGCUAGGCAAGCUCCUAUCUGGCCUCCGCUUGCUCCAGGAAUCCCAUGCAGGGUCACCAAGGACCAAACCAGAUGGAACAGUACUGGCUGCUUUUUCUGGUCUCACCUGAGUGUACUGACUGCUUUUUCUGGUCUCAUCUGAGUGGCCUGGAAGAGUCAUCUCAGAACAGAGCUGGGGGUAGAGCCGUGGGGAUGCUGAGACGAGUGGCCUGACCACCCCAGUCUGCAUGACUGCCAAGUCAGAGAGGCUAGCUGACCUCUGGAGUCAAGCACUCAGGAAAGAUUUAGUAAGCACCUCUUGGCAGGCCAGGCAUGGAUUACUCAAAGAGACAGCAUGGAGGCUCGGCUCUGGCCAGAAAUGUCUGAGCUGAACCUAGAGCAAAGCUGUGGCAUCACUUACUGAGAAGUGUCUGCUCCUCAGCAGCAGGAUGCAAUCUGGGCAUCUAAGCCAGCCUCCCCGGCCCUGUGUCCAGUGGCCCGUGGGAAGCGUUAGUUACCACAAAGGCCUUAGAAAUGGGGUCAGGGGCUGUACUUUCCCUGCAUAAUAUUGUCAAUUUGCUAACACCUGCCUGAUUUUCCAUAUCACAGCACGAUCAAAGUGGAGAGUGCUGUCUUUUUUUCUGUGACUUGCUAAUGAAAGGCUCUGCAGAGCUGGGUGGUUUAUAAGAGAUUGAGAAGCUACAGGUGAGGCAAGGUCUAACCGAGGCUUCUCCUUGAGAGACCUUUGCCCAGUACCACCUACUGGACCACUUCCAUCUCAAGGCUGCUGAGGCAUUAAGCCUAUCCGGUCCAUCUCCAAAUGGGGUAGAGAGAACUGUGGGAUGACCUAAUAAUGCAGGCCAACACCCACCCACCUCCUAGAUCAUGAAGCCAAGACCAGCAGAGAUUCAUCAGCGUCACCGCCACCUUAGCAGCUACUCUACCAUUCACUGAGCCCUGAUUCGUGUCAAGCACCCCCCUUUUAGGCUUUUAUUCCAUCCUCACGACAAUCCUCUGAGGUACAUAUGAUGUUCAUUUUACAUCAUCUGACAUCCCCAAGACUUUACGCUGGUAUAAUGCCUAAGGUUGCACAACUGGUAGGUGGCAGAACCAGCAUUCACAGCAACUGUUCCAAAAUACCCAGCAAGUGAGUGCUAGAAUUUGGGCUGGACCCAGGUCUCCCAUCUCCCAGGUCAGUGCUUUUCCUGCGGUACCACCUCUUCCUGAAAUGAAGCUGGCAUGAGGAGCAUUCAGUGCGUUCUCAUGACUGAAGGCAGCUGAUUCAACUCCCAGCAUGCCUGCAUCUAAUUUUGCCCACCAGGUCUGUGGUCAUCCCCUUGGACAUGUUGACACAGACAGAGCUCUGUUCCAGCUCUUUAGGAACAGUCACGUUUCACUCACACACACCAAGUGACUAACUGAGAGCAGAAAACACCAGGAUAUGCCAGAUGAACCCACGACCCAGCCAGGCGGGGCUCCUCAGAGGGUCACCAAAUACCUCCUGCAACAGUCACCUGAGGUGCACAUUAAAGUGCAAAUCCAGGGUCGCCACCCCUAGACCUACCAAAUCAGCCUCUUGGGUCGCUGGUCUGGGAACCUGCAUUUUCACAAGCUCCAUGGGCGACUUAUGCCUUCUCAACUGAGAGAACCCCUCUCUGCUGAGGUUUCCCAGAGAUAGUGUCUACUGAGUCAUCAUACAGAACUGAAACAAUAUCCUCCCUAAUACCAUGUGAAAUGUACCCCCCAAAGAGUAUGUGUUUGCUCUUGGACGUUUUUUCAGAUGAUCUCCCCACCCGCAACCCCAAUGACCAUGUGGGGACAUUAGAGAAUCUCACUAUGGUCUUCUGAGGAGAUGCUCACAUCCUGAAUUCUCCCUUGGGGCCUCGGAUGCAUUCUACAUCUUGCUGGCUCCUGCCAGUUCACUCUAGUAAAGCUAUUUCAAUGGUUCUUUCCAAAGAGAGCGCGGGUUUGCAGGAAGUUCUGAGCAGACGACUUAAGAGAUGGUCCAGAUAAACUCCUGGUUCCUUGUUUGUGCUGUUGGAGUCUCCACUCAGAGGGUGGAGCCCUCGCUGCCACCACCGCACCCUUGCCCCCUCUAGUACGUGCACAGCGUGUCCCUGCAGCCUGUGUUCCCAUUAUAGCACUUGCUGAAGUUAUUCUCGAGCCUAACUCUCCCAGGAGAUUGUAAGAUUUUCUCUAAGACAAAAAUAGUGCCUUGGGCUGGUUAUGCAAUGCUUAGCACUUAGAAAUGCUUACUUGUAUAAAUACUUAUUUUUAAUUAAUUCAUAGCACCAAGCACCUUUCCUUAGGAUGAAGUUAUGAUGCAAAGGUUAUGGCCACCGCUUUGGCCCUGGAGUCAGUCUGCAGGUGAGUUGCACACACCUGCCCUUCGUCGUCACUUGCUGUUUGGCAAAUUGCCUUUGUUCCGUCUGCAAACCACCUCCAGGAGCCUGAGUGGCAUGGACAGAGCAAGGUUUGAGGAAAGAGGCACCUUGCUCCCAGACAGAUGUUUUUCAGCCUGGGAACCUACAGCGAAGGCCUAAUAGCCAAGAAUCCAGACAAAAACAGCAAGAUUCAACUUCUUCCUAUUCCUAUCUCCUUGACCAUUUGGCCUCAGAGGAGCUUAAGUGACCACUUACAGGACCAGAGGGUCUCCUCACCACAUUGCCAUGGUUUUUACUCCCUGGAGAAAGGAACACUAGAGAGAUUUACGGAUAGGCACAUGCUGGUGGAAGUCAGCAGGCUGUGUCAGCAAAGGGCAAACUGGAAACCCCGCUGGGUGCGGUUUUGAACUUACUCUUCAGCUGUGAUGUGGGAGCGGCCGUGCCCCAUCUUGGGGUAACCAUAGGUGAAGUAAGCUUCUUCUCUUGGCAUCUUGUGGGGUCAGGCCACAGGACACCUAACAGCAGGGGCACACAGGCAUCAUUUAAUGCAUCUGGAGCAUCCUUGCUCAUCAUCUCAUAAAGACCCACAAAGACGUUCCCACUAGGUGACCAUUAACGACAGCCGGGACCCUCUGCUUUCUCUCUGUGAGAGGAUUUAUACUUGCUUCUUUCACUGAUAUAAAGUAGAAAUUGCUCAGGUUUCUAACCCCUUCCACCAACUGAAAAUUAAGUUCACAGAAGAAACUACAAACAAAAGCAAAAAAUUUCCAAAUUCAGUUGUUAUUUGGGGGGAAAAUGUUCUUCAUUUGCUUUCAAUUUGACUCUAUACCAUAAACUUGUAGAGAAACAAAGGAAAAGCACUUUAGUCAUUCCUUACUUUUGCUGGCCCAGGACUGUGCUUAAUAAAAGAAGAGAAGUUAUUUUCCCCCAAAGGUAUAAUUUUAUAUCAAUCUUUGGACAAAUAGAAGGUUAUGUGUGUGUGGCCGAGCAUAGCAUCCUCCCAGCCGACUUUCCAGCAAGGGAAACUGCCCCAUAGAGAUGUCUGGGCUUCUCCACGUUCACUCCACCCAAAAUACGCCGAGGAAGCCCAUGACCUGACUUGGCCUAACAAUUUGUUUUCCCUCCCACCAAAAUCAAUUUCUACCUCUUCCUUGUUCAAGUCCAUGACUAGGGUUUAAAAAUAUUUUUUAUAUAUUUUUAAAUUAUUGUACAAAAUUUUAAACUAUAAAAUAAACAAAAAGCUCUUGAACCACA